rnacentral:tRNA from 6 species
GCGCUCGUAGCUCAAUUGGAUAGAGCACCUGACUACGGAUCAGGAGGUUGUGGAUUCGACUUCUGCCGGGCGCACCA